ACUCCCUACUUUUUAUUAUAUAUACAAGUUCCAAAACCUCAUGCUCAAACACGGUUUAGAUUUCUUAAACCUAUUGAAAUAUCAGUUUUCAAUAUGGAACCUCAAAACAUAACCAUGUUGAACAAUCUCAAUCCUUUGUCAAACAACUACACGCUCAAGUUGAAGAUCGUUUCCCUUUGGAGGAAAAUGAUGCACGGCCGUCCGACUGAAACUUAUCGUGUCGACAUGAUAUGCAUGGAUGAAGAGGUACGAUUUAUCAACUUUUACUAUACUGUUAUUAUAUUAUGUAUUAAGUAUGGGUCUUCAUCUCCUUAAUUUUUUUUUAUUUAAUAACUUAAUUUUUAUUGAUAUUUUGUAGGGUCACCAGAUUCAGGCUAGCUUUAUGCAUAGGAUUUUGCCAAGACUUCAGGAAUACUUCAAGCUGGAUGAAUGUCUUCUGAUAACCAGACCAUCGCUUGCACCCAACAAUUCAACCUACAACUACACCAAAAAUAAUCAGAAGUUAACUUUCAGUUUUUUCACCCAGAUUCAAAAAAAGUCAAGAUUGGAACGGGCCUAAGUAUAACUUCAGUUUGUGAAUUUCAAGGACGUUGUCCAAAAUCGACUUGAAGUUAAUACCACAGUUGACUUUAUAGGAUAUGUUGAGGUUUGUUUCAAUCUAGAGGACACCAACGAAAAGGAUGGUACGAAAGGGAAGAGAUUGAAUGUUAAGCUUAAAGAUCUUGAGAACCACCAGAUUAUUGGUACACUUUGGGAUGAAUUUGCAAUUCGGAUGCAUGCCUACUUCAACGCUGAAAAUCGAGAGAAGUAUGUCG